rnacentral:RNase_P_RNA from 4 species
GAAGCCCGUCAGACUGCCGCUGGUGCAAUUCUGGAAACAGAGCACUGGAGGAACGUCCGGACUGCAUAGGGCAGCGUAGCAGCUAACGGCUGUCCACUGAAAGCCUGGAGCGCAAGCCCUGGGUAUAAGGUGAGGAUCAGAGCAACAGAGACGAGUCGCGCCGGGGCAACCUGGUUCGGGUGAAACGGGCAAUCUCUACGCGCAGCAAUACCAAAUAGGCACACGUUGAUGGGGCCCCCGGAGUGUGCGGGUAGGUAGCACCGAGCCACGCAGUGAUGCGUGGCCCAGAUGAAUGGCAGUCACGCUCAAGGCAACUUUGGCGCACAGAAUCCGGCUUAUCGGUGGGCUUCACAA